rnacentral:tRNA from 1 species
GGUAGGAUGGCUGAGUUUAAGCGGUGGGUUGUAGCCCCAUGUACAGAGGUUUGAGUCCUCUUCUUAUCA